UGCAUUAUUUUUCUGUGACCGGAAUGGUCAAGAAAUUUAACACAGCAAGCCCCAUUCGAUUUGACGUUUCGUUUCAGUUCGGUAUUUACUAGGAUCCGGAAUAAAGCGACGCUUUAUGAUUUCUUUAACGAUUCCUUGCCUGAAUUUACCACACAUCGAGAUCUGCGUACUACCCAUAACUUGUAGAAGACUUCCUGAAGAGAUUUCUUCAGAGAUUCAAUUCUAUUGUACAGUAGACGUUCGCUCGGUGCAAACGCUUUAACUGCAAUGCUGUUUAACUGCAAGUCCGCUAAGUGCAACAAUUUUGCAGUUAUCGCACCGCUAUCCGUCAAAACGAAAUGUCAACAGCGAUGCGAUGUUUUUCGCAUGCACUUCUGUUGCAGUGCGAUGUUUUACUUAUGCACAUUGACUGCAUUCUGUAGCAACUGACAGUUCUUUGACGUCUGUCAGUUGUUGCAGUUAUCGAAUUUCAUUCGGUAAGUGAAACGUAAACAUUGUUACGUUUAAGUUGUUCUGCUAAGAUAGUAUGUUUUUAGUAUAGAACUAGACAUUAAGCAAGUCAAGUAAAACACAACAUUUUGAAAAUGCAUUGCUCCGCGAAACACGUUCGGAAAACCUCUGCGCAACUCCCAUGCAACUACAAUCAGCCUACGGGCUAUGCUACAAUCGUCGAUCGUCCAGCAGAGACAACACGCACUACCACAGUGUAAAACGCUGGUUGAAUCAGCGGCAACAGCGCACGCAUGCGCACAUCCAUCAGCCAGAAUUUGCUGCCACACGAGGAAAUCAUACCCUCAUCGAAGGAAAGUAUUCCGCCGCUGGGACGCAGAACGGCAGACAAGCGCGAAGCGUCGUCACAACUACAGAAAAGCGCAAGAGAGGGAAGAGAGCGACCGUUUGGUGGCAUCGUCGCAUUGGAGAAAUUUGUUCCUAUAUGACACUCGCACAACCAAGGCCCGCCCGACGGUGCGAACGAACGAUCGCGCCGCAUUGAGAUCAAUUGUCCUCCGUCUGCAAACCAAGCCACAUCGUGUACGUUAUAAAUCAUCGGUAGUGGAAAUCCUUGGCUUGGAUUUCGGCAAAAAUCCCAUCCAGAGCAGCGCACCGGAUUAGCUGAUCUGUUUCACCUCGUCGCAAGUGUAUCGCGAGUGUUGAUCGGUCCACUGAAGGAAGGAAAUCAGGCCAACAGAAGCAAAUCCACGUGUGUUUACCGAGAAGGGGAAGUGCAUGCAAAAGCAAACCAUCCGGAUUAGCAGAACCAGCAUCGGCAAGUACUUAUCCCGAUCAGUGAUUGUCCGCACGGGUGCCUGGGACUAGACGCACAGAGCGAAGAUAACUGUACGCGGAGCUGAGAGAAGUGGCGAGUAUCCCUACCGGCCAGGGUUCAGCUCGAUCUCCGAGCAGAUCAUACUUCAACUGGGGACAUUUCGUGAAUUGGCGGAUUGAUAAGCAGAACGUCUGGUCGCUGCAGAAGCACAACGGCCGCGACAUAGAUCUCAUCUUGUCGAACAACAGAGAGCCCCUCAAAAGGGUAAGAUUUGCCCUAGCUGGCCCGUGGAGAUGUGACGCUGAUAUUUCGUUGCCUGCAGGGCUCUUUUUUCUUGUAGUUUCAUCCGCUCAACGAGCGCCGAGGACGAGCGAGGUCGUGAGGGUCGCGGUGCCGUAAAUCGAUAUUCCGUCCGGCCUAUCACCGAUUGCGAGUUGGUCAGAAGGAGGAACACCAACCAAACCGACGCGGUCGACGCCAAUACACGCACUGGGAGGAGUUUUGGUCGGCAGUCCGUCGAUCGAGGGUCCGCAGACAUGUUCGCUGGGAAAGCAACGGCGGCGCAGCAUCAACGGAGCCAAGGAAGGCCCACACUGGAAGGAUGUCCGGUGGAGUAAGAGCAUGCAGAGUCCGUGAGUGCUAGAAUUAAGAGCAAUGUUGUUAGCCUAAGAGUUAAGCGCAGCGUAGGAGGUAAUAGGACCCCAGAAUAGGAGGCCAUGUUUGGCGAAAUACUAAAUAUAUGUAUUUAAAAUGAGUUUGCUCUGUUUUGUGAUUUUCGUGGUGCUUUAGCCCUCAGUGUUUGUGACUUUAGACCCCCUUAGCUUAAGGUAGUUCCGCUCUACCUAGUCGGGACACUUGCAACAACAUGUUGCAGUUAUCGAACGUCUACUGUAAUUCGAUUCCAGCUUCGAUCAAUAUUUUUUUAGAUAUACAGUAGACGUUCGAUAACUGCAACAUGUUUACGUUUCACUUACCGAAUGAAAUUCGAUAACUGCAACAACCAGGCUUGUUGGCCAGGAUUGGCUUUCGUGCAUCCCGGUGGACUCGCAACACCGCUGUGAUACAUCAUGCUUUUCAUCGCACCUCGUAUGGCUUUAACGAACCAUUCUCUGCUAUGCUAAGGACAUUUUCUACGGUGGAAGAUGAAUUCGAAUUCGGGGAACCUGUCCGGCGCUUUUCCAACCGCGUCAAACGUCAGCGUCUACUAUGAUGUUAAAUGUUUUUAGUAAAUUGUAAUUUGUAUUGUUUGGCUUAAUUUAGUUUUAAUAUGUAAACGUUGUUUAGUUUAAGUUUUUACAAUCAUUUAGACUAUAAGUCCGAUGGUUUCUUUUAUAAAU